rnacentral:rRNA from 1 species
UACAUGGGGUGCAAACGUUGCUCGGAAUUAUUGGGCGUAAAGCGCACGUAGGCGGUUUGUUAAGUCGGAUGUGAAAUCCCUCGGCUCAACUGAGGAAGUGCACCCGAAACUGGCAGGCUUGAGUACUAAAGAGGGUCGCGGAAUUCCCGGUGUAGAGGUGAAAUUCGUAGAUAUUGGGAAGAACACCGGUGGCGAAGGCGGCGCUCUGGACCGAGACUGACGCUGAGGCGCGAAAGCGUGGGGAGCAAACAGG